CCUACGGGAGGCAGCAGUGGGGAAUAUUGGGCAAUGGGCGCAAGCCUGACCCAGCAACGCCGCGUGAAGGAAGAAGGCUUUCGGGUUGUAAACUUCUUUUGUCAGGGAAGAGUAGAAGACGGUACCUGCCGAAUAAGCCACGGCUAAAUAAGUGCCAGCAGCCGAGGUAAUACGUAGGUGGCAAGCUUUGUCCGGAUUUACUGGGUGUAAAGGGCGUGUAGCCGGGUUGACUAGUCAGAUGUGAAAUCCUGCGGCUUAACCGCAGAACUGCAUUUGAAACUGUUGGUCUUGAGUACUGGAGAGGCAGACGGAAUGCCUGGUGUAGCGGUGAAAUGCGUAGAUAUUAGGAGGAACACCAGUGGCGAAGGCGGUCUGCUGGACAGCAACUGACGGUGAGGCGCGAAAGCGUGGGGAGCAAACAGGAUUAGAUACCCUGGUAGUC
rnacentral:rRNA from 1 species